GUGCUCCCUUCUGCAACACAUAUACUAAACUUGGAACGCUACAGAGCCCAGUCCCUAAGUAAGAAUGACACACAGUUUGUGAAGCACUCUUUAUUUUU
rnacentral:snRNA from 1 species